CUCACAAAAUGUUGUGAAGAUGUGCUUCAGAAAAUACGUUCCCAAAAGCAGAAAUAAAACCAUGGGGAGGAAGCACAGCACAAUCCUAUGCAGCUGUCUUUAAGUCUAACUUCCCCUCAAUUUUAAUUUUUUUAGUUCCUCAUGGUGGCAAAACAGCAAACUAAAAAAAAAAACAUGUUUUCUUAAUGAUGGAUACUUGCAUUUAACCUUGCUUUUCAAGUGGCUGCAGCUGCUGGAGAGAAGUUUGAUGAAGAAUAACAGGUGCAGAGUGACGUGCUUCACUUUCCUCCUCCCCAGAUUUCCAAUCUGCAACCUGGGACCACGGAGCAGCCAGACUGCUCUGCAGGGAUUCACAUGGAUGUGAGACUGUAAUCAUUUCCUAAUGAGUUACUUCUCCCCACUAAUUGAAAAUCCGAUUCUGCCACUUCUUUACAACCUAUGCUGUGCAAAAGACAACCUCAGCAAAAUGUCUGUUGGUAAUCUUGGAGCCCUGAGCGCCACAUACCACACCUCAAGCUCCAGCUCAUCAGUCUUUAGAAUGUGCAGGUAAAAAAUACUAAGAAAGGGGCAGUACUGGUGUUGAUAUUGUUUUUUUUCCAUGUUCCUGCAUGUUAACAUUCAUAUUUAAGGUUGCAUUUUUGCUUAAAAGCCCAUUGUUUAGAAAACAAUCUUCCUGUAUGCAUGUGUACCCACUUUAAAUAGCCCCUCUCAGACAAUUUUUAGAAAAAAAAAAGAAAA